UGGGGAAUAUUGGACAAUGGGGGAAACCCUGAUCCAGCCAUGCCGCGUGUGUGAAGAAGGCCCUAGGGUUGUAAAGCACUUUAAGCAGGGAGGAAAGGGUGGUGGCUAAUAUCUAUCAUCAUUGACGCUACCUGCAGAAUAAGCACCGGCUAACUUCGUGCCAGCAGCCGCGGUAAUACGAAGGGUGCAAGCGUUAAUCGGAAUUACUGGGCGUAAAGCGCGCGUAGGCGGUUUGGUAAGUGUGAUGUGAAAUCCCCGGGCUCAACCUGGGAACUGCAUCACAUACUGCCAGGCUAGAGUACGGUAGAGGGGGGUAGAAUUCCACGUGUAGCGGUGAAAUGCGUAGAGAUGUGGAGGAAUACCAGUGGCGAAGGCGGCCCCCUGGAUCGAUACUGACGCUGAGGUGCGAAAGCGUGGGGAGCAAACAGG
rnacentral:rRNA from 1 species